CUCAAAGCUCAGGGCAUAAAUCAUUCCAUUUCUGUUUUCCCAGUGGAGAUGGUAUGCCUCAGUCUCCUUCUCUUUUGCUCUUUCUUUCCCUGGAAGCAAGGGACUCCUUUUCAGCCUGGGAGUAUAAAUGGUGGCCCUGGAAAGAAGACACUGGGCUCCCAGGGGUUCAGGGCAGGAGGAUGAAGAAGCUACACGAGAUUUGGACUUCUUAGAGCUGGUACUCCCGGAGUCUAGAAUCAGAUAGACCUCCCGCGAGGAUAUGCUAAAAGUCCCAUAGAAAACAGAUUUUGAGGCUGCAGAUCUGACAGUUUACCAAAGGAGAUGAGACAUUAUAAAUGUAUGACUGCAGGGUUGAGAGGUGAGUGGGGAAAUUCUAAAAUGCGCGUCUAUGUGACUUCUGUCAUAGAGGCCAGGCUUUGUUAAGCAUGCUUUAACAACUGAAUGAUCUAAGUAUUUCUGGAAAUUUCUGAAACUAACUAAGGGAAAUAGGACAAACUGUUAAUCCUGACAAAAUAAUAUUUUCUGCCAUGCAAUCUCUCUCUCAUCCAAUGAGUAAAAUUUGUUUCACAAUUCUGGUUCUAAGGAGUAAAGUGGGAAAUCUAGUGUAUAAGAUUACAUGAAAUAACAUAGCUAAUCAUUUCAUAAUUGAACAUGGUUAAUUUUACUGACCUUUUAGCCGAAGAUAAAAACAAAUAUAAAUGACUAUUCAGUAAGUUGUGUUUACUUCUUUCUGCUCCCCAACCCCCACCUCCACAGUUAACGGAAAGACUCUUAGUUGUGUCAAAUUUGCAUAGAAAAUACAUAGAAGUCUGGAUUUUUCUAUGAAGAUCUGAAAUGACAUCUGAAUACUGGGCAGAAGAGUUCACAAGAACCAAAUUUUUCAAGAGAACUGUUUCCCAAGAAUAAUUUCCAAAAAAGAAAAAAAAAUGCUAUAAUGUUUCCAAUCCUCAUCUUGGCUUGAAUCAAGACAUAAAAAACCUUAAAGUGUGAUGAGAGGGAAAAAAUAUUUUUACCUUGGAAUAAAUUCUAUUUAAGUUGGGUUAGAUAUGGAGCUAUUUAUGGAAGCUUACAACAGUUCUUAAAACUUCCUCAGAAUCUUCCAUGAAUCUAGCAGCUUAAAGAGCCCUCCACAGGUGCAUCAUGAUAUGGCCAGCUGUCUCCAGUUUGUUCUCACCAUCCUUAUCCUAGAGGCAUUGAAAAUGAUUCCUUGGAAUAUAGGUGAGUCUUGGAGCAUAAUGUGUACCCAUUUCCAGACCUCACAGGCCAGAGGUGAGGACCUACUUGCCUUUGGGUCUUUCUAGCAAGAAGCUUGUCCUGGGAAGCCACAAAAUUAAAAUCUUGUCUGGAGGUAGAUUAUAUGGAAAUAGACGUUGAGACAAAAAUGCGCAGGCAAUUUAUUAAAGUAGUACUCCCAGGAGGAACCCAAAGUGGUGUGGGGAAAGCAAGUCAGGAAGGGAAGAAGCCAGGGUACAAUUUUAGGACAAGGACAAGACCCAGUCCCUGCCUAAUCCUGGGGAGGGAGUUCUGGAGUGAAAAUAGCAUCCUAGGUAAGAGAGCUGGGCUUUCAUGAUGCUGCCCAUCAGUCUUUGACUGAGAGUAGAAAGGGUGAUGGGAGCAUGCAAUUUCCCAAGGGCUCUGGCUUCCUGCAUCUGCAAUGGAAAUGGAAGUGGCUCCCAUAGCCCAAGGGCAAUCUUAUGAAGAUGGUGGUAGGGGCAGCAGGCUGUUAAAAUUAAUACACACAGAGAAGCACAGGAAUGGGCUCUCAGAAGCAGUGCAGAACAUUCACAGGGCUUGGGGAAGACUCCCAGCAGCACUGGCUAUGAUGGUUAAUCCUGUGAGUGAUAGAAUGCUUUGCAAUCCAUGGUGCAGGUGCUAUUACUACCCCUAAUCAUUGCUCCUCAAUCCCUCAAUAUUCCCAUCCUCCUCCACUUUGUCAGUUUCCCAAUUAAAAUAAAAUCGUGAAUUUCAGCACUAAAAUGUGGAAUUCCAUUUAAGAUGCACGAGAUUUUAUUAUGCAUAUAGUCUUUUCCUCAAAAUGCCAGGAGAAUCCUAGCAGGGCUUUCUUGUUACUAAUAGAAACCUUUGUUAUUGGUAUCAUGUCAAUUUAGUUUGAUUAGUAACUAAAUCAGAUGUCUUCUUUUUGCUGAGUUCCAAAGACCCUCCAGUUCCUAAACUGGAGUAAAUUAUAGUUCAGCAGAAAGAUGGACAAAUAGCUAACCAUGAUAUUGUGUGAUAAGUGUUAUAGGACCAUAAUAUUCUAGAAGCCCACAGGAAGGGGAAUUUACUCUACCUGGGAGUUUGAAGGUAGCCUUCCAGAGGUGGGAACAAUUGAGUGCAGCCCACAAGAUUUCCAUAGGUGGAGACAAAGUAGGGUUGUUGACAUUCCAGGAAAAAUGAAGAGCAAAUAAUUAAAGAUUAUUUAAGUAAA